rnacentral:misc_RNA from 1 species
GGAAAGGCCACGGUAGUUGCAAGAAAUGAGUGACUAUUACAACUUACCCCACAGUCUUUACUCUUUUAGGCGAAUCAGAGACGGCCAAAGCAGCAACCCACGUCAAGAUCAAGUGCAAGAAACCAUUUGUUAAGCUAAAUGGGGCGGCGAAGUCAAGUUAAAUUAGCACUCACUCUCCUCUCAAACUCAUUAUCAAUUCAUGGGAAAAUUAGUGAAUGGUACUAAAAAUGAUCUUUCAAAAAUCUUAAAUUUGGGUUAUAAUCGAAGUCGGAUAAAAAAAAAGAAAACUUCCAAUAUUCAAUACUCAUACCCCAUAAAUACCCCCUGCCACUUCCACACCUCCACCACAAUAAUUUACAUCUCUUAGCAAUCUAGCUACUACCAGAACUCCUCAGUCUUUUCUUCCCUUUCUCCUGCCAAAUUCUUUCAGCGUAUAGCUAUGGCCAAGGACAUUGAAGUUGGAGGCGAUGGAAGUGAGUUCCGUGCCAAGGACUACCAUGACCCUGCACCGUCACCAUUGAUAGAUGCUGAGGAGUUGACCAAGUGGUCGUUUUAUAGGGCUAUAAUUGCUGAGUUUAUAGCUACCCUCUUGUUUUUAUACAUCACUGUUUUAACUGUAAUUGGUUACAAGAGCCAAACUGACCCUGCCAAGAACGCUGAUGCCUGUGGUGGUGUUGGGAUUCUUGGCAUUGCUUGGGCCUUCGGUGGCAUGAUCUUCAUUCUUGUUUACUGCACUGCUGGCAUCUCAGGUGGGCAUAUAAACCCAGCUGUGACUUUUGGGUUGUUUUUGGCGAGGAAAGUGUCUC